UGCCGGCAGCUGAACUCGUUGACUACUCGGUUUCCUCCCAGGCGGCCGUCGGUUCACUUCCUGCUUGUCCAACUUUCAGCCCGCCCCCGCCAACUUCGCAUCCCAGCGGCUCCGGCCACACCUCGCUCAGGUUCUCCAGUAUCUGUGAGACCGGAUUUCCUUCAUAUACUUCAAUCACAACAGAUGGAAUGCAGAAACAGAAAGGAGACUCCAGCUUUCUUCAAUUAAGCCAGGCAUUAAAGAGAUCUGCAUGUAAAACAAUACUAUUCUCAUAUAUUUUUUUAGUGUGGAAAAUAUAUUUUUUCAUAAAAAUGUUAUUUAUGUAAACAUGUAA